GGUGGGUUGGCAGAGCGGUCUAAUGCGGCACGGUGCUAACGUGUUAAGGGGAUUAAACCCCUUCAGAGGUUCAAAUCCUCUACCCACCGCCA
rnacentral:tRNA from 1 species